UGGGAGAGAAAGGAGACUUUGAUUGGAUGAGCAGUGAUCGGGUGACUGAUUGGUUUAACUCAUCCUGAACCCAGGAGCUACAGAGAGCUGUGGUUUCUCUUGAAGGAUCAUAAGACAUGGAAACAGAGGUCGCUGCCAAUGGGAGCCAUGGAUGCAGCUACAGGUAGGAUAUUGGUCCAAGUAAUUGUCUUGCUGAAACGUGAUGGGAGGACAAGCAGAUGUGACAACUAAGCCCAGGAGCAGCAGCAAGCUGCCAUGGAACCCCCAUGUCAGGCAGAAUGCGAGUGGUUAGUGUGCAGCAGCAGGUUCCAGAACUUGAAGUCAGUGCUGUGAUCCAUGUCAGCACUCCAGUUGCCAUGGACGGAAUAUCGAAACAAUUGUGUCUGUGUUGCACAGCUGAGAGGGAACGCUGAAUUUCUGAAUGAUCUUGAUGCUGUGGACGUGGAAAGGAUAUUUCCUCUUGUGGGUGAGCCCAGCACUGAGGGACACUUUUAAAACUAGAAGCCACCCCACUAUUAGGACAAAAUGAGGGGACAUUUUUUCUCACUCAGAAGCUUGUGCAAUUUUGGAGAUCUCUAACUGAGUUGUUGUUGUUGAUGGCGUGCUCAUUGCAUAUUUUUGAGAUGGAAGUAGAUUCUUAGCAGGCAAGGGAAUCAAAGUUUGAGGGUAGAUAGGAAUAUGAAAUAUUGAACACAGACAUAUCAGCUAUAUUGAAUGACAAGAGCCGAACGGCGUUUUUCUGAACCUGGUUCGUAUGUUCCCAUGUUUCUAACUCUUGUAGGAUCUAUAAACUUCCAAGCAAACCCUCAUCAGCACCUACUUUCCAAAACCUCUGUUGGAUCAUAAGGAGGAACCUUAGACUCUCCCUAUUCCUUCAUUGCCAAGACUAUAGAAUAUGAACUGCCUCAACUGAGCUCAACUAAGUCGAUACAGACCAGGAUGUCAAAACUUGGGAUCUUCCAGCCUUUUUGGUUUAGCAAAACCAUGUCAAGCAACCCACUUAUUAUGUUGCCAGGGAAAGUUGUAUUUAUUUUGAAAGCAAAGCACUAUACAAGCUGUGCCACACAUUAGCAAACCUUUUCCCAAACAUUCAUAUUACUUUUGGAAAUAUGAUUUCUUCUUGGAAAUACACAAGUUGUCAUUUAAAGUGACUGAUUGUGCAUGGCAGUUAUUAAUGUUACAUUGGCUAAAUUCGAAUAUUUAUGAACCUGUACACUUUGAUUGUGGCCAAUGAUUUGUGUCAUACCCUAUUGAGUAGGUUGUUGAGCAUUGAAUCAAAUGCAAUUAUGUGUGAAAUGUAGGCAGCACAGGAGCAAGAUGGAAGAGUGUUUUAAUGAUUUUGGCAGAACUAUGAUGGAGUGAGACCACGGUGGAGAACUGACUAAGAUAAAAUGGCUGCAGAAAUGGCCAACAACAGAACCAUUGAAUUGAUAUAUGGAGAGUCUCGAAUGAUGGCAAUUGAUGUUCUCAAUGCCAAGAUGUUUAAAAAA